CGGGACCGUGGGGCCCGAGAACCCUGGGUCAAGGAAACGCGAUAGAAAUGUUGCCCCCGGGGUCCUUUGCGAAGCAAGAAAUCCUGCAAUAAGUAAAACCUGGCGUCCAGCAGCGUGAGUGGUUCAUGUGGCCUGACUGAGGAUUGGCCAAUCAGCUUCCAAGUUUGAAAUUCCCCUAACUCCUUCAAUUUCGUCGGGGGCGCUGGAUCAGGGGGUAGACCUGAGAGCCUGGGCUCCUGCGUUCUUGCCGGCCAACCCCGCGAUAAGCCUCUUUCUCAUCUCAAAAGCCUGUGCUCUCUCUGGUCCUGGCUUUCAGGCAAGGCAGGCUGGGAGCCUUUGCUCCAUCACGGAAGGCGGUAAAUGCUCGGAUUCCAUCCUGGGUAUGUUAAAAACAAAAACAAAACAGACUUCCGGAUGAACAAAGACGAUGCUAUUGAUUCCGGUCUACAGACACAGGUUGUACGCCUGUCGUUUCUUUGGUGCAUCUCAAAAAGACCGAGUGACCCAGAAGCACAUUUUCCUUGUAUCUCAUGGGCGCCGAAAGCUGAAAGGAGCUGAAGGAGAAUGUCACCAUUGUGUCGCGCUACGGAACGAGACGGACGCGGUGGGCUCUGAUGGUUUUGGGCUCUUGGGAGAACCAGCCCGGGAGGCCGUGCCCGUGCUGCUGGCUCACACCCGUGGGGGAGCCCCUCUAUCCCGGCCACUCCGACUCCCGCGGCUGCAGAAACUCAUGCCUUGCUUGGUGGGAAUAACCGAUACCCCUGUGGGGCUGGAAGCGUGGAAGAGAAAGAGGAGGCCAAAGGAGACGACAGAGCACUCCUGGUACUGGGGUACAGUCGAUGGGGAAAUGCCCCCUACGAGGGAGACAUCUGCCAGUCCGCUCCCCAGAAUCUCAGGACUAGAGGAAGAGAUGAUGCGAGAGGAAGAAGCAGAUGGCACAGGUGAGAAAGGAAAAUCUUCUUUUUCUGAAAAAUGCCAGGAGUUCCCUGGUGGCGCAGUGGGUUAAGGAUCUGGCGUUAUCACUGGAUCUGGCUCAGGUUGAUGCUGUGGCGCGGUUGGAUCUCUGGCCUGGCAACUGACACAUGCCCUGGGCAUGGCCACAAAAUAACUUCGAAAAAAAAAUUUUUUAAAUGAAAAACUUCAGAAAUUUGAGCAACUUCUACUUUUCAGCCAUAAAACUGGAAGGAGGUAUUUGCUGACUCCCAGGCAAAUUCUUCCAGCAUUUGAAGCUAAAAAUUGGCACUAUCAGCAGGAGCUGGUCCUCGGGGAUCUCCAUCCGUCCACAUCUGCACCCUGAGGCUCCCUGUUGAGACUGGACAACUUCCCCCCCGAGCUGGUCCCAU
rnacentral:lncRNA from 1 species